rnacentral:rRNA from 1 species
CUGUGCAAAGGUAGCAUAAUCAUUAGUUUUUUAAUUGAAAGCUGGAAUGAAUGGUUUAAUAAGAAAAAUUCUGUCUCAUUUUUAAUUUUAAAAUUUUAUUUUUAAGUUAAAAAGCUUAAAUAAAUUAAAAAGACGAGAAGACCCUUUAGAGUUUUAUAAAAAAUAAUUAAUUAUUAUUAGGAUUUAAAUUUAAAAUUGGUUUUUAUUAUUUUAUUGGGGUGAUAUAAAAAUUUAAAUAACUUUUUAUUUAUUUAAUCAUUAAUUUAUGUGUAAAUGAUCUUGAUUUUUGGAUUAUAAGAAUAAUUACCUUAGGGAUAACAGCGUAAUUUUUUUUGAGAGUUCUUAUCGAAAAAGAAGUUUGCGACCUCGAUGUUGGAUUAAAAUUUAAUUUUGGCGUAGAAGUUAAAAAUUUAGGUCUGUUCGACCUUUAAAAUU